CCUACGGGAGGCAGCAGUGAGGAAUAUUGGGCAAUGGGCGAGAGCCUGAAGCAGCAAAGUCGCGUGAGGGAAGACGGUCCUAUGGGUUGUAAACCUCUUUUGUCGGGGAGCAAAAGACGCCACGCGUGGCGUUCCGAGAGUACCCGAAGAAAAAGCAUCGGCUAACUCCGUGCCAGCAGCCGCGGUAAUACGGAGGAUGUGAGCUUUAUCCGGAUUGAUUUGGUUACAAGGGUGCGCAGGAGGAAGAUCAAGUCAGCGGUAAAAUUGAGAGGCUCAACCUCUUCGGGCCGUUGAAACUGGUAUUCUUGAGUGAGGGAGAGGUAUGCGGAAUGCGUGGUGUAGCGGUGAAAUGCACAGAUAUCACGCAGAACUCCGAUUGCGAAGGCAGCAUACCGGCGCUCAACUGACGCUCAUGCACGAAAGUGUGGGUAUCGAACAGGAUUAGAUACCCGGGUAGUC
rnacentral:rRNA from 1 species